GUAUAUGGCCAUGCCACCCUAAACAAUCCCGAUCUCAUCUGAUCUCGAAAGCUAAGCAGGGUCGGGCCAGGUUAGUAUUUGAAUGGGAGACCACGUAGGAAGACCAGGUGCUAUAGGCA
rnacentral:rRNA from 1 species